ANAUCUAAUACCGGAUAAAAGCUACUUUCGCAUGAAAGAAGUUUAAAAGGCGGCGUAAGCUGUCGCUAAAGGAUGGACCUGCGAUGCAUUAGCUAGUUGGUAAGGUAACGGCUUACCAAGGCGAUGAUGCAUAGCCGAGUUGAGAGACUGAUCGGCCACAUUGGGACUGAGACACGGCCCAAACUCCUACGGGAGGCAGCAGCU
rnacentral:rRNA from 1 species